UCCUUCUUCACAGCCUUUGGACCAUUUAACCUUAUAGGGUCCUAAAUGAUUAACCCAGAUUAUUGUCCUCAGGAGAGAAGACCUCGACUCCAUCAUUCAGAAGUAUUCAUUAUUUGUGAUGGGCGAUGCUAUAAAUUAGGUUUCCAGACAUUUGUGGAGGUUGAUUACCUGUGGAUUAAGGUUCCUAAACCUGUCUGUGAUUUUCUUCAUCGAAGUCUAAUAUUUUUAAGCCCCUGACCAAUUCCAGCAGAAACAAAGAUGACUUUGUCCCAGGACUUGCAGUUGCUUAACUAACAAUUUGUGCAUGUGAUUUAUAGCCUCAUUUGGAAUUUUUAUAGUACCCUACCUAAACUGGUGGUUUCUAUAAAAUUGAGUUUUAAUUCUACCAUUGACUAAAUUCUGAAAAAAAUGCAGAAGUGUUGGAUUUGGGAAUUAUCUGCACAAAGUCCGGCAUGACAGAUGCCGCCAAAUAGGAUUUUAAAUGGG
rnacentral:lncRNA from 1 species